rnacentral:lncRNA from 1 species
CCAAUUUUCCUGUCCCUUCUUGUUUCAGUCACUGCUCUCUUACCUUGUCUUCCUUCUCUUCCCAGGAUGAAGGGGAGAAUUGGAGUCUUGCACAAUGAAAGGACAACAUUGCUGCCAAAAGAACCAUCGUGACUAUGGAGAAACCUGAAGACCAAAAUUUAUACCACCCCUAAGGAGAGCAGCCAUCUUCCUCCCUGUCCUGAGCAGGAAUAAACAAAGACUGAACAAAUUCUUGCAGCGGGGCGGGUGGCAGGAGAUGUUUCCAAGCUUUACUCAAAGAAAACGGAGAUGCCUUUGUACAUGAUAACAACCUUCCUGGGACAUGCCAAGUGGACUCUUGAUGCCAAUGCUCUGCCAUCCCCUGACAAGGAGCUUUUUCCUAUGGAAGAGUCUCUAACACCUCUGGAAGUUUCUAAGUCCUGUACAGCAAAGCCAGAACUCAGAAUACAUCUCUCAGAAGAAAUGGAAUAA